rnacentral:tRNA from 1 species
AAAUUUAAAGGUAUAUUAUAUGUAUCAUUUUCUAU